UAAUGGAAAGCGGCGGACGGGUGAGUAACGCGUGAGUAACCUGCCCUUAGGAGGGGGACAACAUUCCGAAAGGGAUGCUAAUACCGCAUAAAAUUAUUUUAUCGCAUGGUAGAAUAAUCAAAGAUUUAUCGCCUAAGGAUGGACUCGCGUCUGAUUAGCUUGUUGGUGGGGUAAAGGCCUACCAAGGCGACGAUCAGUAGCCGAACUGAGAGGUUGAUCGGCCACAUUGGGACUGAGACACGGCCCAAACUCCUACGGGAGGCAGCAG
rnacentral:rRNA from 1 species